UACAUGGGGUGCAAACGUUGCUCGGAAUUAUUGGGCGUAAAGCGCACGUAGGUGGUCUGUUAUGUCAGAUGUGAAAGCCCUCGGCUUAACUGAGGAAGUGCACCUGAAACUGGCAGGCUUGAGUACGAAAGAGGGUCGCGGAAUUCCCGGUGUAGAGGUGAAAUUCGUAGAUAUCGGGAGGAACACCAGUGGCGAAGGCGGCGACCUGGGCCAAUAUUGACGCUGAGGUGCGAAAGCGUGGGGAGCAAACAGG
rnacentral:rRNA from 1 species